rnacentral:rRNA from 1 species
UACGUAGGGGGCUAGCGUUGUCCGGAUUUAUUGGGCGUAAAGCGCGCGUAGGCGGCUCUGCAAGCCGGAUGUGAAAUCCCCGGGCUAACCUGGGAACUGCAUUUGUGACUGCAUAGCUGGAGUACGGCAGAGGGGGAUGGAAUUCCGCGUGUAGCAGUGAAAUGCGUAGAUAUGCGGAGGAACACCGAUGGCGAGGCAGUCCCCUGGGCCUGUACUGACGCUCAUGCACGAAAGCGUGGGGAGCAAACAGG